GACGUAGGGGGCCAGCGUUGCUCGGAAUUACUGGGCGUAAAGGGUUCGUAGGCGGUGUGGCAAGUCGGGAGUGAAAUCUCUGGGCUUAACUCAGAGGCUGCUUCCGAAACUGCCGUGCUAGAGUGCGGGAGAGGCGAGUGGAAUUGCAGGUGUAGCGGUGAAAUGCGUAGAUAUCUGCAGGAACACCCGUGGCGAAAGCGGCGCGCUGGACCACUACUGACGCUGAGGAACGAAAGCUAGGGAGCAAACAGG
rnacentral:rRNA from 1 species